CGGUGUUCUUCACAUCCUGGUAGAUGCGUAAGGGCAGUCAAGGAGCCUGCAACCAACCCAGAGCCAUCAAGCACUUCCCAGCCAACCAUGAAGAACAGGCACUGUCACCCACUGCCAGGAUGGGGGUGCUGGGACCCAACAGCAGCACCCGCUCUGGGAGAUCAGCACACUCUCCUCAACAGGGAGCACGGGGAAGUUGCAUGUAUUUGGAAGCAGAAUCAAAAGCAGGAAACAGCACUCUGAUGGGAAGGAUAAACUAGGGAUUACAGUCUCUGAGCUCUCAACUCCACAGUGACCCAGGACUCAGCCAAGCAGAGCUGGAUCCAGAGCCAGAAUUCUGACAAGCUGCAGCAGAACAUUUAUGCACAGACAGUCUCAUUUUUCCUUUGAGCACAAGGAUUUCACUGCUGGAGGCAUGCAGGCCCUCGAGGAAGCACGGUACAGCAAGGAUAUACUCUUCAAUCUGGGCUGCUAUGUGCUCACAGUCAGCACCGAUGGCGAUGUAGUCGUCUGUAAGAAAGCACAAACAGGAGUUCAGUAGCUUCCAACCAAGCCAGGGCUCCCCAGGCUCAGUAUUUCUGAGCUACAAAUCUGAACAGUUUGCUGGUUUGAUUCACAUGCUCUUCCCAUCAAAUGGCAUCUUGGUCUUUGCUCUUGCUACUCUCUGACCCUUUGGAAAAGGGCAGUGAUGAAAAUAGACUAAUCUAGCCAGUCUGUGUCCUAUGCCUCUCUAGGAUACGGACUGCAUGAGACAAAGCUAACAACAGCCUUGGCCCAAGAAAUUAGUCUCCCAAUAUAUUUUUCAUAUAAUUGCAAUCAAACAUAUAUUGGCAGGAAUUGAGUUUCCUCGGAUAAUCACCUCAAUGAGAAGUAACUCUACUCAGACCAACCAUCUGGGAGGGCCUGGAGGUGUGCAGCAUCGGGAUCAAGCCUUAGGACUGUCUGCUCCUCCCCUCUUCUCACACACACCAGUUAAACAGCAUCAUACAAAGUGCAUAACUGCCGUGGAUUUGGACAGCCAGUAUGAUAACCAACACCAUAAAGCAGGGAAGGUAAGGAACAGCUGAGCUUGGGGAAGGGCUCAAGGGAACUCUUUCCAAGAUUUCAUAUGGAAAGGGUUUUCCUAAGAACUGUGCAAAGUAUUUAAUGCAGCAUAUAAACACAUGCACAGGAAGGCUAGAAAUAAAGACCUCAUGAACUUC